rnacentral:tmRNA from 1 species
GGGGACGACAGGAUUCGACAGGUACGUUCCGGUGCGGAUCGCGGGUUGAGGUGCCGCCACCCUCACUAAUCAGGCGGCAAACGGAUAACUGGCAACCGUCAACUUGCCCUCGCUGCGUAACUAACGUAGCGACGUGGCCGUAGGCCCCACCUCGACGGGUUUGCGGCCGCGACGUUAAGUCGAGGUGCCGUGCGGACCUGCGUCUCAGGGUCGCCGCACGAAAGACCAACUGAGACUGGCCGGGUCAGCCCUCAACCGCCACCGGAUGGGCGCCGGCGAGAACAGUCCGUCGUGGCUACACCCGUAGACGUUCGUAUCAGUCGUGCUCUGGACGGGGAGUUCAAUUCUCCCCCGUCUCCACCA